AACGAACGCUGGCGGCAUGCCUAACACAUGCAAGUCGAACGAGACCUUCGGGUCUAGUGGCGCACGGGUGCGUAACGCGUGGGAACCUGCCCUUAGGUUCGGAAUAACUCCCCGAAAGGGGUGCUAAUACCGGAUAAUGUCUUCGGACCAAAGAUUUAUCGCCUUUGGAUGGGCCCGCGUUGGAUUAGCUAGUUGGUAGGGUAAAAGCCUACCAAGGCGACGAUCCAUAGCUGGUCUGAGAGGAUGAUCAGCCACACUGGGACUGAGACACGGCCCAGACGCCGACGGGAGGCAGCAGUGGGGAAUAUUGGACAAUGGGCGAAAGCCUGAUCCAGCAAUGCCGCGUGAGUGAUGAAGGCCUUAGGGUUGUAAAGCUCUUUUACCCGGGAUGAUAAUGACAGUACCGGGAGAAUAAGCGCCGGCUAACUCCGUG
rnacentral:rRNA from 1 species